rnacentral:lncRNA from 1 species
AGUGUGGAAACGCCCACUGAGGGGCACACAGUGAGGCGGCCACUGGCUCUGUGUCCUUGGGGAAGCCCCUUCUGCGGUCCCCUCCAUUGUCUGCGUGACAAAGUGGACGUAGAACUCCCCCAUUUCCUGCCCAGGGCGGGUGAGGACCCUGCACACACACGGUGUGUUUGUGAGCUGUGCAGAGUGGGGUCUCCCUGGCAAUGGCCACAGCCUCCAGGGGCGCUGACACCUCCCGUCUAACUGGUAGACAGUUUCUGCCUCUUCUUGUUUGGGGAUUGGAGAGGGAAGUGCGUCUGGAUGACUACUAAGAUGAGGAGGCUGAGGCCUAGUGCUCCUAGCGGGCUUGGUCAAGAGCAGGAGGCGGAGGUGGUGGAAGGCUGUUUCCCUGCGAUUUUCACAUAAUUUUUAAAAAAUCACCAUAUGUCGGCCAGGCGCAGUGGCUCACGCCUGUAAUCCUAGCACUUUGGGAGGCCGAGGCGGGCGGAUUACAAGGUCAAGAGAUGGAGACCAUCCUGGCUAACACGGUGAAACCCCGUCUCUACAAAAAACACAAAACUUAGCCAGGCGUGGUGGCGGGUGCCUGUAGUCCCAGCUACUCAGGAGGCAGAGGCAGGAGAAUGGCAUGAACCUGGGAGGCGGAGCUUGCAGUGAGCCGAGAUCGUGCC